GGGUUGUGAGGUUAAGCGACUAAGCGUACACGGUGGAUGCCCUGGCAGUCAGAGGCGAUGAAGGACGUGCUAAUCUGCGAUAAGCGUCGGUAAGGUGAUAUGAACCGUUAUAACCGGCGAUUUCCGAAUGGGGAAACCCAGUGUGUUUCGACACACUAUCAUUAACUGAAUCCAUAGGUUAAUGAGGCGAACCGGGGGAACUGAAACAUCUAAGUACCCCGAGGAAAAGAAAUCAACCGAGAUUCCCCCAGUAGCGGCGAGCGAACGGGGAGGAGCCCAGAGCCUGAAUCAGUGUGUGUGUUAGUGGAAGCGUCUGGAAAGGCGCGCGAUACAGGGUGACAGCCCCGUACACAAAAAUGCACAUGCUGUGAGCUCGAUGAGUAGGGCGGGACACGUGGUAUCCUGUCUGAAUAUGGGGGGACCAUCCUCCAAGGCUAAAUACUCCUGACUGACCGAUAGUGAACCAGUACCGUGAGGGAAAGGCGAAAAGAACCCCGGCGAGGGGAGUGAAAAAGAACCUGAAACCGUGUACGUACAAGCAGUGGGAGCACAGAGCAAUCUGUGUGACUGCGUACCUUUUGUAUAAUGGGUCAGCGACUUAUAUUCUGUAGCAAGGUUAACCGAAUAGGGGAGCCGAAGGGAAACCGAGUCUUAACUGGGCGUUAAGUUGCAGGGUAUAGACCCGAAACCCGGUGAUCUAGCCAUGGGCAGGUUGAAGGUUGGGUAACACUAACUGGAGGACCGAACCGACUAAUGUUGAAAAAUUAGCGGAUGACUUGUGGCUGGGGGUGAAAGGCCAAUCAAACCGGGAGAUAGCUGGUUCUCCCCGAAAGCUAUUUAGGUAGCGCCUCGUGAAUUCAUCUCCGGGGGUAGAGCACUGUUUCGGCAAGGGGGUCAUCCCGACUUACCAACCCGAUGCAAACUGCGAAUACCGGAGAAUGUUAUCACGGGAGACACACGGCGGGUGCUAACGUCCGUCGUGAAGAGGGAAACAACCCAGACCGCCAGCUAAGGUCCCAAAGUCAUGGUUAAGUGGGAAACGAUGUGGGAAGGCCCAGACAGCCAGGAUGUUGGCUUAGAAGCAGCCAUCAUUUAAAGAAAGCGUAAUAGCUCACUGGUCGAGUCGGCCUGCGCGGAAGAUGUAACGGGGCUAAACCAUGCACCGAAGCUGCGGCAGCGACGCUUAUGCGUUGUUGGGUAGGGGAGCGUUCUGUAAGCCUGUGAAGGUGUGCUGUGAGGCAUGCUGGAGGUAUCAGAAGUGCGAAUGCUGACAUAAGUAACGAUAAAGCGGGUGAAAAGCCCGCUCGCCGGAAGACCAAGGGUUCCUGUCCAACGUUAAUCGGGGCAGGGUGAGUCGACCCCUAAGGCGAGGCCGAAAGGCGUAGUCGAUGGGAAACAGGUUAAUAUUCCUGUACUUGGUGUUACUGCGAAGGGGGGACGGAGAAGGCUAUGUUGGCCGGGCGACGGUUGUCCCGGUUUAAGCGUGUAGGCUGGUUUUCCAGGCAAAUCCGGAAAAUCAAGGCUGAGGCGUGAUGACGAGGCACUACGGUGCUGAAGCAACAAAUGCCCUGCUUCCAGGAAAAGCCUCUAAGCAUCAGGUAACAUCAAAUCGUACCCCAAACCGACACAGGUGGUCAGGUAGAGAAUACCAAGGCGCUUGAGAGAACUCGGGUGAAGGAACUAGGCAAAAUGGUGCCGUAACUUCGGGAGAAGGCACGCUGAUAUGUAGGUGAAGUCCCUUGCGGAUGGAGCUGAAAUCAGUCGAAGAUACCAGCUGGCUGCAACUGUUUAUUAAAAACACAGCACUGUGCAAACACGAAAGUGGACGUAUACGGUGUGACGCCUGCCCGGUGCCGGAAGGUUAAUUGAUGGGGUCAGCGCAAGCGAAGCUCUUGAUCGAAGCCCCGGUAAACGGCGGCCGUAACUAUAACGGUCCUAAGGUAGCGAAAUUCCUUGUCGGGUAAGUUCCGACCUGCACGAAUGGCGUAAUGAUGGCCAGGCUGUCUCCACCCGAGACUCAGUGAAAUUGAACUCGCUGUGAAGAUGCAGUGUACCCGCGGCAAGACGGAAAGACCCCGUGAACCUUUACUAUAGCUUGACACUGAACAUUGAGCCUUGAUGUGUAGGAUAGGUGGGAGGCUUUGAAGUGUGGACGCCAGUCUGCAUGGAGCCGACCUUGAAAUACCACCCUUUAAUGUUUGAUGUUCUAACGUGGACCCGUAAUCCGGGUUGCGGACAGUGUCUGGUGGGUAGUUUGACUGGGGCGGUCUCCUCCUAAAGAGUAACGGAGGAGCACGAAGGUUGGCUAAUCCUGGUCGGACAUCAGGAGGUUAGUGCAAUGGCAUAAGCCAGCUUGACUGCGAGCGUGACGGCGCGAGCAGGUGCGAAAGCAGGUCAUAGUGAUCCGGUGGUUCUGAAUGGAAGGGCCAUCGCUCAACGGAUAAAAGGUACUCCGGGGAUAACAGGCUGAUACCGCCCAAGAGUUCAUAUCGACGGCGGUGUUUGGCACCUCGAUGUCGGCUCAUCACAUCCUGGGGCUGAAGUAGGUCCCAAGGGUAUGGCUGUUCGCCAUUUAAAGUGGUACGCGAGCUGGGUUUAGAACGUCGUGAGACAGUUCGGUCCCUAUCUGCCGUGGGCGCUGGAGAACUGAGGGGGGCUGCUCCUAGUACGAGAGGACCGGAGUGGACGCAUCACUGGUGUUCGGGUUGUCAUGCCAAUGGCACUGCCCGGUAGCUAAAUGCGGAAGAGAUAAGUGCUGAAAGCAUCUAAGCACGAAACUUGCCCCGAGAUGAGUUCUCCCUGACUCCUUGAGAGUCCUGAAGGAACGUUGAAGACGACGACGUUGAUAGGCCGGGUGUGUAAGCGCAGCGAUGCGUUGAGCUAACCGGUACUAAUGAACCGUGAGGCUUAACCUUACAACGCCGAAG
rnacentral:rRNA from 1 species